GAUGAACGCUGGCGGCGUGCUUAAUACAUGCAAGUCGAGCGAAGCACUUUAACGGAAUUCUCCGGAAGGAAGGUAAAGUGACUGAGCGGGCGACGGGUGAGGUAACGCGUGGUAACCUGCCUUAUACAGGGGGAUAACAGUUAGAAAUGGCUGCUAAUACCGCAUAAGCGCACAGGGCCGCAUGGCCCGGUGUGAAAAACUCCGGUGGUAUAAGAUGGACCCGCGUCUGAUUAGCUGGUUGGUGGGGUAACGGCCCACCAAGGCGACGAUCAGUAGCCGGCCUGAGAGGGUGAACGGCCACAUUGGGACUGAGACACGGCCCAG
rnacentral:rRNA from 1 species